rnacentral:rRNA from 1 species
CGGACGGGUGAGUAACGCGUGGGUAACCUGCCCUGUACACACGGAUAACAUACCGAAAGGUAUGCUAAUACGGGAUGACAUAAGAAAUUCGCGUGUUUUUCUUAUCAAAGCUCCGGCGGUACAGGAUGGACCCGCGUCUGAUUAGCUAGUUGGUGAGGUAACGGCUCACCAAGGCGACGAUCAGUAGCCGACCUGAGAGGGUGAUCGGCCACAUUGGAACUGAGACACGGUCCAA